UGAGGAAUAUUGGUCAAUGGGCGCAAGCCUGAACCAGCCAUGCCGCGUGCAGGAUGACGGCCCUAUGGGUUGUAAACUGCUUUUGUACGGGAAGAAACCGUUCUACGUGUAGAACUUUGACGGUACCGUAAGAAUAAGGAUCGGCUAACUCCGUGCCAGCAGCCGCGGUAAUACGGAGGAUCCAAGCGUUAUCCGGAAUCAUUGGGUUUAAAGGGUCCGUAGGCGGCCCUGUAAGUCAGUGGUGAAAUCUUUCGGCUCAACCGGAAAAUUGCCAUUGAUACUGCAGGGCUUGAAUUAUUGGGAAGUAACUAGAAUAUGUAGUGUAGCGGUGAAAUGCUUAGAGAUUACAUGGAAUACCGAUUGCGAAGGCAGGUUACUACCAAUCAAUUGACGCUGAUGGACGAAAGCGUGGGGAGCGAACAGG
rnacentral:rRNA from 1 species